rnacentral:rRNA from 1 species
UACGGGGGGGGGCAAGCGUUGUUCGGAAUUACUGGGCGUAAAGGGCUCGUAGGUGGCCAACUAAGUCGGACGUGAAAUCCCUCGGCUUAACUGGGGAACUGCGUCUGAUACUGGAUGGCUUGAGUUUGGGAGAGGGAUGCGGAAUUCCAGGUGUAGCGGUGAAAUGCGUAGAUAUCUGGAGGAACACCGAUGGCGAAGGCAGCCCCCUGGGCUGAGAUUGACGCUCAGGCACGAAAGCGUGGGGAGCAAACAGG